rnacentral:rRNA from 1 species
GCGAGUGGCGAACGGGUGAGUAACAUAUCGGAACGUGCCCAGUAAUGGGGGAUAGCCCGGCGAAAGCCGGAUUAAUACCGCAUACGACCUACGGGUGAAAGCGGGGGACCUGCAAGGGCCUCGCGUUAUUGGAGCGGCCGAUAUCAGAUUAGCUAGUUGGUGGGGUAAAGGCCUACCAAGGCGACGAUCUGUAGCUGGUCUGAGAGGACGACCAGCCACACUGGGACUGAGACACGGCCCAGACUCCUACGGGAGGCAGCAGUGGGGAAUUUUGGACAAUGGGCGCAAGCCUGAUCCAGCCAUGCCGCGUGUGGGAAGAAGGCCUUCGGGUUGUAAACCACUUUUGUCAGGGAAGAAACGGUCUGGACUAAUAAUCUGGGCUAAUGACGGUACCUGAAGAAUAAGCACCGGCUAACUACGUGCCAGCAGCCGCGGUAAUACGUAGGGUGCAAGCGUUAAUCGGAAUUACUGGGCGUAAAGCGUGCGCA